CGACGACAUACUUCACCAGCGUCUCUCUCGCUGUCAACACCUCCUUCAUCAAGCCACCAUCACCUUCCCAGCCAGGUCCAUGGACGGGAGGCGCAGGUCACGACACACGGCAAUAGCUGACCGUGCGGCUUUUAUCAGCCUCUGGGAGAGAGGGAUGUCUCUCCGGGUCAUUGCUCAAGUUACUGGCAGCAGCGUGACUACGGUGUGGCGGUGGCUUAGACGAUGGAAACUGGAAGGAACCUUAAACAAGAAACAUUGCUCCAGAAGACCACAGCCGGAAAGUUUUUUAAACAAACAAGGCAGCAACAAAACAUUUGUCGUUUGGGCUUGGACACCCGUACCCGUGUUGGGAACCUGUUUUCCUAAUCACUACUCACAUCAGAUAUACACACAUGUGACUUAUGAGAAGGAACUUGAGAGGUAUUUUAAUUAGAGUUCUCCAGUAGGCCUGGAGAACAGUGAGAGAUGGGGAGAGCAGUGGCUCCUGCACAUUACAUCCUGUAAGGGAAUGAGAACAGGUGCCACAAGAACAUAAUGACUGGCAAGCAUCUCACAGAGUUAGAAAAUUGCAAAUUCUAGUAGCAGUUGUUGCACGAACCCAAAUAUCGGACACCACAUAGACAAAAUAGCAUGAACAAAUCUGGAGGAAAUAAGUAAUGUUUAACAUUGGACUCAUGACUGUCCUUAGAUAUGAAUAUGUCCUAGGAAAUAUAAAUGAGAUUGGGUGGUUAUAAAUAGGAGCUGCCACGUAUGGGCCAAUAGGCCUUCGACAGUUACCUUUAUCCUUAUUCUUCUGCUCUUAAAUAUGAUUAUUAUUUAUAAUUCUAAAUAAAGGAAUUGUACUUAUUAACCUGGUAACUUUUUACGUAAAUGGUUAUAAAGAGAAACUUUACAUUUUUUUAUAAAUGUAAACAAGUAUGCUACAGUAAACUCCCAGUGAAUAAUCACAUUUGCAGCAUUUCAAGUGUUUAAGAAUGAGUAGACCAUAUGCAAAUAAAUACUUAAAUUAU